UCUUAAAAGUUCGGGGNUUAACCCCGUGAUGGGAUGGAAACUGCUGAUCUAGAGUAUCGGAGAGGAAAGUGGAAUUCCUAGUGUAGCGGUGAAAUGCGUAGAUAUUAGGAAGAACACCNGUGGCGAAGGCGACUUUCUGGACGAAAACUGACGCUGAGGCGCGAAAGCCAGGGGAGCGAACGGGAUUAGAUACCCCGGUAGUCCUGNCCGUAAACGAUGGGUACUAGGUGUAGGAGGUAUCGACCCCUUCUGUGCCGGAGUUAACGCAAUAAGUACCCCGCCUGGGGAGUACGACCGCAAGGUUGAAACUCAAAGGAAUUGACGGGGGCCCGCACAAGCGGUGGAGUAUGUGGUUUAAUUCGACGCAACGCGAAGAACCUUACCAGGUCUUGACAUUGAUGGACAGAACCAGAGAUGGUUCCUCUUCUUCGGAAGCCAGAAAACAGGUGGUGCACGGUUGUCGUCAGCUCGUGUCGUGAGAUGUCGGGUUAAGUCCCGCAACGAGCGCAACCCCUAUCUUAUGUUGCCAGCACUUUGGGUGGGGACUCAUGAGAGACUGCCGCAGACAAUGCGGAGGAAGGCGGGGAUGACGUCAAAUCAUCAUGCCCCUUAUGACCUGGGCUACACACGUACUACAAUGGGAGUUAAUAGACGGAAGCGAGAUCGCGAGAUGGAGCAAACCCGAGAAACACUCUCUCAGUUCGGAUCGUAGGCUGCAACUCGCCUACGUGAAGUCGGAAUCGCUAGUAAUCGCAGGUCAGCAUACUGCGGUGAAUACGUUCCCGGGCCUUGUACACACCGCCCGUCACACCACGAAAGUCGGAAGUGCCCAAAGCCGGUGGGGUAACCUUCGGGANCCAGCCGU
rnacentral:rRNA from 1 species